UCCAGGGUAGCCUAGUGGACAUGGCAUCUGCGCGGUAAGCGGAAGGUCGUGGGUUCGAUUCCCGCCCCUGGAC
rnacentral:tRNA from 1 species